GACGAACGCUGGCGGCGUGCUUAACACAUGCAAGUCGAACGAUGAAGCCUUUCGGGGUGGAUUAGUGGCGAACGGGUGAGUAACACGUGGGCAAUCUGCCCUGUACUUUGGGAUAAGCCUUGGAAACGAGGUCUAAUACCGGAUAUGACUGGCCUUCGCAUGGGGGUUGGGUUGUAAAGUUCUGGCGGUACAGGAUGAGCCCGCGGCCUAUCAGCUUGUUGGUGGGGUAAUGGCCUACCAAGGCGACGACGGGUAGCCGGCCUGAGAGGGCGACCGGCCACACUGGGACUGAGACACGGCCCAGACUCCUACGGGAGGCAGCAGUGGGGAA
rnacentral:rRNA from 1 species